AACGCGAAGAACCUUACCUGGGCUUGACAUGUUUCUGACAACCGUGGAAACACGGUCUCUCUUCGGAGCAGAAUCACAGGUGGUGCAUGGCUGUCGUCAGCUCGUGUCGUGAGAUGUUGGGUUAAGUCCCGCAACGAGCGCAACCCCCGUCGCAUGUUGCCAGCAUUUAGUUGGGGACUCAUGCGAGACUGCCGGUGACAAACCGGAGGAAGGUGGGGAUGACGUCAAGUCAUCAUGCCCCUUAUGUCCAGGGCUACACACGUGCUACAUUGGCGCAUACAGAGGGCUGCAAGACCGCGAGGUGGAGCGAAUCCCUUAAAGUGCGUCUCGGUUCGGAUUGCAGGCUGAAACUCGCCUGCAUGAAGGUGGAGUUGCUAGUAAUCGCGGAUCAGCAUUGCCGCGGUGAAUACGUUCCCGGGCCUUGUACACACCGCUCGCGA
rnacentral:rRNA from 1 species